rnacentral:rRNA from 1 species
ACGCUCGACACCUACGGGAGGCAGCAGUGGGGAAUAUUGCACAAUGGGGGAAACCCUGAUGCAGCGACGCCGCGUGAGUGAAGAAGUAUUUCGGUAUGUAAAGCUCUAUCAGCAGGGAAGAAGAUGACGGUACCUGAGUAAGAAGCCCCGGNUAACUACGUACCAGCAGCCGCGGUAAUCUGAGCGGCUGGCAAGGC